rnacentral:rRNA from 1 species
UGUAAGCGUAUACCAAAGUUGUUGCAGUUAAAACGCUCGUAGUCGGAAUUUGGCAGUUCCGGAUGUGUGCACGUCGUGUGCGCACUUCGCGGGGAUUGCUUUUGUGGUCUUGCGUAGGAUGAGGCACUUUUAUUAGUGAACGUCCUCACGCAACCACUUUUUACUGUGAGAAAAUCAGAGUGCUCAAAGCAGGCAUUUGCCGUGAAUGUAUUAGCAUGGAAUAAUAGAAUAGGACUUGGUUCUAUUUUGUUGGCUUGUUGGGACUGAGUAAUGAUUAAGAGGGACAGUUGGGGGCAUUUGUAUUACGGUGCUAGAGGUGAAAUUCUUAGAUUACCGAAAGACAAACUGCUGCGAAAGCGUCUGCCAAGGAUGUUUUCAUUGA